GUGCCAGCAGCCUGCGGUAAUUCCAGCUCCAAUAGCGUAUAUUAAAGUUGUUGUGGUUAAAAAGCUCGUAGUUGAACCUUGGGCCUGGCUGGCCGGUCCGCCUCACCGCGUGCACUGGUCCGGCCGGGCCUUUCCCUCUGUGGAACCCCAUACCCUUCACUGGGCGUGGCGGGGAAACAGGACAUUUACUUUGAAAAAAUUAGAGUGCUCCAGGCAGGCCUAUGCUCGAAUACAUUAGCAUGGAAUAAUAAAAUAGGACGCGCGGUUCUAUUUUGUUGGUUUAUAGGACCGCCGUAAUGAUUAAUAGGGACAGUCGGGGGCAUCAGUAUUCAACUGUCAGAGGUGAAAUUCUUGGAUCAGUUGAAGACUAACUACUGCGAAAGCAUUUGCCAAGGAUGUUUUCAUUAAUCAGGAACGAAAGUUAGGGGAUCGAAGACGAUCAGACACCGUCGUAGUCUUAACCAUAAACUAUGCCGACUAGGGAUCGGACGGUGUUAUUCAUGACCCGUUCGGCACCUUACGAGAAAUCAAAGUGCUUGGGCUCCAGGGGGAGUAUGGUCGCAAGGCUGAAACUUAAAGAAAUUGACGGAAGGGCACCACCAGGGGUGUGCCUGCGGCUUAAUUUGACUCAACACGGGAAACUCACCAGGUCCAGACACAAUAAGGAUGACAGAUUGAGAGCUCUUUUCUUGAUUUUGUGGUGGUGGUGCAUGGCCGUUCUUAGUUGGUGGGGGUGACUUGUCUGCUUAAUAGCGAUAACGAACGAGACCUUAACCUGCUAAAUAGCUCACAUUGCUUCGGCAGUGCGCUGGCUUUUAGAGGGACUUUCGGCUCAGGC
rnacentral:rRNA from 1 species